CUGAACCAGAAGCAUGAUUCAGAACCUUUAAUCACUGAGCAUUCUCUGGUUUUGUAAAGAUUUUAAAUUUCAAGGUUAGUCACCUUCUUGUACAAGCAACACACUGCCACGUGAUUUGCCAUUGUUUUUACAGAAGCUGCAGGCAAGAAUCAGUUUUUCAUGUUUUGUCAGGCAGCUGCAGUUCCACAUCCCAAUACCUGCUGUCUUAACCACGCCUCUACUCCCUUGUCCACCAAUAUAGUAUCACACAGUUGUCCCAUUUUAAGGAAAGUAAAGGAAAUACUGUAUAACACCCUACUUUUAUUCUAAUCCCAAUGAUUUUAGGAUGACAGGGAAAAGGCCCAUUUCUAUUUCAUUUGUGUUUUUACUUAACUUGCUUAGAACUUUUAAAGUGAACAUCAGUAACUGUGUUGAUUUGUUACAGAAGAAACAGCAUAGAAUUGUGCUAACUGAUGAUCAUGAAUAUUCAUAAGGUAAAGCUGGAUAAAAUGUUUGAGUGCAAGUGGUGAAGAACUGGGAGAAGAUAAUAAAACAGGACAUUACUGACUUUUCUCAGUACUCAAUCCUAAAAAGCACUAAUACAAGGCGCUUAGGUCCUUAGAUAUAGAACUAUAAAACUUUGAGAAACUUUAAAGAAAUAUACGUAUUUAACUACCUAUAGACAUAAGAAUAGAUGAUGGUUGCUGCAUUCUCUAUGCUACUGAUUGUGAUUUCCUGCUUUAUAAAAAGCCUGCUCAAACUUUCAGCACAGGCAGAACAGAGUAGGGGCACUAUAGAAAGUGCACUUUUAAUAGAGUUUCUUGGAGAAAUCGUGGUGGUGAGUGAUAAGUGCCAAAAGAGAGGAGGGUAUGGGUGGAACAUAGUGGAAGUCUAAUUAAAAUUCUGUGGAUUUUUAUUGGAAGAUCCUUGCUUUGCCAGAGCAAUAGUUGCUCUCAGUGCCUGAUAUUCUCUGGGCUUUCUUUGUUGCCUUUCUUAAUGCUCUCUUUGGUUCAAGUCUAGGUGACUGUUUGGAAAGACAGAAUCUUGAUUUGGCCCAAACAGUCUGAUGUGCUCCUUUGCAAAAUCAGCUAUACCUGGAGAUUAUUUUGCUUGAGUUCCCUGCAACUACAAGAAAAUUUUUAGCUACCUCUGGACAAAUAACUUGUCCCAUCCCCGUUCAGAGGAAAACUGCAUUUUUUUUUCUAUGAGAAUGUGUCCCCUCUGGGCCAUAGGAAAAGUCUUUUCAAUUGGUAGGGAAUGCUGACUGAAAACUGGAAGCUCUGUUAAAAUUGCCAAGCUUUGACAUUUGUUCUUUAUUCUACAUUGAGAUGAAUUAAGACCGUGCAAAUUAUGUUUGUGAAAACAUCACAAAAAGCAACAAUGAUAUAGCUGCUGGGAGCUCGAGGUUUGAGAUGCUGUGCUUCCUGAUUCAUUUACACGUUGGGCAGCGUUCCAAAUCACUUUUCAUUUGUUUGAUUGAUAUUUUAAGUGUUGCAAAUGAAGCAGAAUACCAAUAUCUUAGUGAUUAGGAUUUCCACCAGAGGCAUGGGAGACAGAUAUUUGUCACUUUCCUGUGUAAAUACUUGCUGUGGCUGGGAGUCCCCAUCAUUCCAGUGCAGUUUUGCUCCGUGUAACACGGUAUGCUUCUAAACACAAAUGCUUCAGAGGAUUGUUAUCGUUUAAUCCCAGUAGGCAGCUCAGGACCAUGCAUCUCACUCUCCUCAGAUAAGAUGGGAGAGAGCAUCAGGAAAGUGAAAGCAGGAGAACUCGUGGGUUGAAAGAACAACUGCCCACUAAGUAAAGCAAAAACCAUGUGAGCAGGUAAAGCCAACGAGGAAUUCAUUCACUAUUUCCCAUCAGAGGCAGCUGUUCAGUCCCUCCCAAAAGACUAGGGCUCAGCAUGCAUAGUGAUUUCCUGGGAAGACAAAUGCCAUCAGCUGCGAUAUUCCACCUUCCUUCUUCUUUCCCUUAGCUGUUACUGCUGAUCAUGAAGCCCUACGGUAUGAGAUAUCCCUUUGGUCAGUCUGGAUCAGCUGUCCACAUCCCCUCCCAGCUCUCUGUGCAUCCGUAUUUUUUUAAAAAACCUUGAUUUGGAAAAAGUAUCAGUGUAUUGUAAUAUUGAAGAGCAGUACAGCUUACCAUGAGCGCUUUGGAAAGCUUUACAGACAGGCACUGAACCUUUCAGCAGGAAGAUAUUGGGAAUGGUUUUGAUUAUACUGCCCCGUACUGCAAAACAUACAAGGAGGGGGGAGUUCAUUUAAGAUGGAAUGAAGAUUGAACUACCAUGUAUCUUUUAACAUGCUACAAAUUAAGAACUGAACUUAUUUACUUCAGUGUGCAAGGGACACUGCGUGUCUUUGCAAACACAUAGAAACUUGAUGUGCCUGCAAGCAAAUGUUUGGAAGGUAAGAAUAAUGAUACCAAUUCACUCCUAUAGACUGUAGACAUAAUUGAAUCCUCUGAGAAAUUAAGUAUACAAACACUGACGUAUAAAAAGCUAGAUAGAUUUGCUUGAAUCAGGACAGCAACACAUAAAAAACAGCAGUAUCUAUCUACUUAAAGGGAGAGUGUUAGAAAGAGAGAAUCCAAUCAACAUAAAAGACAUGAGAUAAUACAAGAGUGACCUUUUCAAGUUAAGUUCCUGUAUUUUUCCUAAAUUAUUCUUUUUAUCAAAUGUUUCUAAUAAGUCCAUUCACCCAGACUAGAUGGGCUACUCUAGCAGUAAGAUGUUAUCCCCUGUGCUGUGACAAAGUCAGAAUGUAGACCUGAUGAAAUUGGCAGUAUCUCAUUUAGCUCAUGUUUGGAGAAAGAGAAGGUUAAAUACCAGUGUGUAGAGGCUUCCAUGGUGCAGUCUCAAUUUGGUCCCUCUUUUAUGACUCUUUUUCAUAUAUGCAACUUUGUGCUUUUUGUCAAAGAAUAUUUUGGUAACAGUAAUUAUCCAUUAGAAGAUUUAUCUCUGCUUCACAUUCAAGAGCUUUCAUGGCAUCCGUAGUUGAAUAAUUUUGAUACUGAUGGCUACUUGGUGGUUUUGGACUGAGUAAUUAUACAUCCACAGGGAGAGAAAGGCAUGCUGCCAAAGCAUUUCAAGUGCUAUCUCAGCAAUGCAAAAGACUUGGCAUUUCCCUCUGUCAUUUUUCAUUCUCAAAGUGCUAUAAACAUAUGCUGAAGAAAAUAUUUCAAGUACCUGGGAAGAGUAGCCCAGUACACUAUCAGCUCAACUCUUCUGGACAUUCUUAUUUAUUUUGCUAAAUGAAGGCAUCUUUAGAAACUAGUUAUCACAGAAGGAAUUAUUAUCCUUUUCGUUACUGUUGCACAGAUGUACUGUAUUUCUCCAUCGUCUCUUUUUUAGUAAUCAGAAUAAGACAGGUAAUCCUCCUGCUCUUUCCCCACUAGGUCACAUAGCAGAUACUGUAUGAACUGCUAUAUUUUCUGAGAACAAAUUUUGAAAUCUGGUCUUCAGUUUUCGGUUUUCUUAAUCUGUCCUCAUGUUUAAUCCAGGGAACAGGAUGAGGAAAGAGAUGAGUAUACUGUUGCAGUUUAGUACCAGUGUUCCCAUCGACUCGAUGUUUUCUGAAUCUGAAUUCUACAACAUGGUGUGGAUUCAGCAAGAAAUGUCCUGAGAAAUGGUGGAUCAGAAGAUAAAAAAUGGCAGUGACAUCCACCUUUGUGCCAGGCACAGUGCCGGUACUCCAGAGCCACACAACCACUGUCUCCCACCUCACAUUCAUGCUUAUAAUUCCAGACAUGCUUAAUGACGUAUAGCAAUGGUUCUUCCCCCAUACAAUGCUAAAAACAACUUCCACUUGUAUUUUCAAUUAUGUUAUUUUUCACUUAGACAUGUCUGAAACUUCAGCAACAACAAAUCUUUAACUUAUUCCCUUCUUUUUACUUCGGGUUGAUUUUGUUACUGGUUUUUGUUUGUUUGUUUGUUUUUCUUUUUCUGUCUUCACAACAUACUGCAGGUUUGAGUCUCUCAGAGCCAGAAAGAAAUCGGUAUCAAGACGUGCUAAGAAUGUAUUGUAGUUACUAAGGAAGUGGUUUCCCAAGCAACAGUAACCACAUGAAAUUCGACAGAAUUUCUUCCUUUGCUACUAUAUCAUGUUUGAAGAUUUCAAAGAGCCAGGAUGUGGGUAGCAUAAGUGAUUUUGUCCUUGUUAAACAGAAGCAGAUACAGUAAUAUCCUUGUCCUUACUAAAGAAAGGGUUAAAUUCAUUAAGUUACAAUUUUCCUGGUAGCAGAAAAAAAUGUGGAUGUGCCAAAUAGUCCUGCAGCAUGUGGGCAGAUGCUAGAGGCAACAUUCUCAGUUGUUACAUACUCAGUGGUGAUAUUUACCAUUCAAGAAAGCCAUGCCAACACUUUGGUUUGCUCCAGACACUGGAAGAGACAUUUACCAGCUUGAUGAUGUCAAAAAGUGUAGGAAACUUGCACUUGCUUGAUAUUAGUAGAAGGAUCAGAACCAAAGGUAAUGAAGUUGCAUUGUCCUAACUUCUCUGCAGUGGUGUAAACAAAAUGGAGUCAGCUGGGCAUCAAUCAAAGAAUGCAGUGUCAUUGCUAUUCUGUUUUGAUCAAGAAAUGAAAAUAACACAGUAGAUGUUGCCCUCUGAAAGUGAAUUUAAUGCUUGUUCUUAGAAGGGAAUUGGAAACAACAGGUUCUAUGGGUUAACAAGCAGUGCAAUUUAAUAUGUUUUCUCGAUAGAAAAUGUGAAUAAUUUCUACCUGCUUCUGUGUGCUGAGGUUCAUUGAGUGGUAAGGCACCACAGAGGCACUGUUAAUAAAGAGCUCAAUCCAGCAAGACAAAGAAAGAGAUGACUCAUUUUUCAUUUGAGUUUCAGGUACUAAGAAAAUCAAAAUUUCUUUCAAAAAUUUGUCUUUAAGAAGUGAUUCUUUAUAUCCACUUCAUGUUUAUGGUGAAAUUUAAAAAAGAAAAUGUGGUGGUGUGCAUGUGAGGCAAAUCCCAAGGGAAGGUAUGUAUUGAAGGAGGUGUGUUUCCAUAUGUUAUUAAGGUUCGUGCUUUGUAGGUACACUUACAUCUUUUCUGAAAACUUAGAUUUCUGCUUUGACCAGAGUAAGAAUUUUUUUACAAUUGUACAAACUCCUACUUAUCUUCUGGAUUGCAGGUCACCAUGCAUAAUGAAACAUUUGAGCUACGGAACCUUUUAAAGUAUACGAAGAAACAAUUAUGUGUAUUAUGAAACUGUUCAGCAGUAUGGAUUGGGGCCAGCUCUGUGCAUUCCCAGAUGUAAUGGACAUAAUUGCAGGUCUCCAAGCACAGACACUGAAGUGAAUGACUGAGGGGAUUUGGGGGCUUCACUGGCUCUGGAUCUGUAUCAGCAGUGCCAGAAACAAACUGGCUCAUUAAAAGCUUUAAUCUUAUUUCACUUAUUACCCUUUCACUUAUUUCUACCUUUGUGAACUGCUUCAUGCAAAGAACUGCCUUUUUAAACCAUCUCUCAAACCCUCUUCAAGUUGCAGAACUAAUAUUCUUAGCUAACAAGCUCUUAGUUAAGUAAGUGGUUAGAAAACUUCUAAGUCCUUCAGAAGGCUUCCUUCCAACACAUCCUCCGUAGACAUACUAAUGUGUUUGUAUUUCUGUGAUGCAUUAAGACAUCUAAAAGAAUACUGCUUGUAGGCAGGUAAAUGCUAUAAUUAGAAAAAAACAAGUUGAGUCUCCAAAUAAAGUCAUCUGUUUCUUUUAAAAAUACAGUAGAUGCACUAUAAUGUAGGAACUUAAUUUAUUUAAAUAAAGUUUGUUUGUAUUCAUGCACAGAACCCAACUAAAUCAAAUGUCUGCAGCUUUUGUGCAUGCUUGCAUUUUAAGCAGUUGCAUCUAAUCAGAAUAGUUAUCAUUUUAAUAGAGCUGGCGCACAUUAAAAAGAGCAUGGAUGGGGGGAUGUUACCCUCCCCCUCUACUCUGCCCUGGUGAGGCCACAUGUAGAGUACUACGUCCAGUUCUAGACUCCUCAGUUCAAGAAAGACAGAGAGAGUCCAACAAAGGGUCAUAAAGAUGAUGGGGAACCUGGAGCAUCUCCUUUCUGAGGAAAGGCUGAGAGACCUGUGACUGUUCAGCCCAGAGAAGACUGAGAAGGAAUCUUACCAAUGCCUAUGGAUAUCUGAAGUGUGGAAGUAAGGUGGAUGGGGCCAGGCUCUUUUCAGUGGUGCCCAGUGACAGGAUAAGGGGCAAAGGACACAAACUGGAACACUAGAAGUUCCAUAUGAACAUGAGGAAAAACCUCUUUGAAAGUGACAGAGCACUGUAACAGGCUGCCUGGAGAGAUUGUGGAGUCUCCUUCUCUGGAGAUAUGCAUAUCUGCCUGGACGCCUUCCUGUAUGACCUACUGUAGGGAACUUGUUUUAUCAAGGGUUGGACUAGAAGAUGUCCAGAUGAUCUCCAGCCACAGUGAAUCUGUGAUUCUGUGUAUUACUUUAUUUAUUCAGUUUUUUUUCUUUUUCAGAGAAAGCUGCCUCUGCCCUCGAAGGCCUCUCAUUUUACCAGGAUGUAUGCAGUGGACACAGACCUGAUAAGAAAUUAUGAGGUUGCAGUUUCUACUGGAAUAAGAGUUCAAUGCAGUCACUUACCCAGACUUCACUUCAUCAUGUCUGAGCACUUACAGCUAUAACUUGUGAUCUUUCUGGUUUAUUUGGAGGCACAGCAAGCCAGCUCCUGUACACAGAGGCAUCCUUAUAUGCUUUCUAAUGUGAUGCUGCUGUGUGGGAUAUUGAGAUCACAGUGAAGGUCGCAGUGCAAAUAUUUACAUACAGGCAAGUCUUAGUGUAUGACUCUCUGGAGACCCCUACAUAAAGGCUGUGAAUCUGAUUAGAUUCCAAAAUGGAAGAGCAAGACAUCUUGUUUUUGUCCAUACUCUUGAAAAUGUUAUCCUAACCCUCAAGAACAUUAAGAACAGUAAGGCUAUGAAGAGAUGGAGAAGAACAACUGAAGUUCCAUAAGAAGCCAUUCAAUUUGGUAUUGUUGAAUCACUACAUCAAGAAACCUAGCUGCAUCUUGAAGAACAUAUUGUUACUUGCACUGCUUUAUGUCAAAUUAAACAUGUAGACAAUUUCAAAUGGAAAGAAUGUUGGACAGUAUAGUAACAACUCAGAGUCAGGACUAAAAGCAAAAUUAGUUGCUCUCGCACAAGCUUUUGGCUUGUUAUGGAAGAAGAUGAUUACUGUAAUUAGUGACACUGAAGAUGUACAAUUCUCUUCAUGAAAUAGUUGUGGAUGAAGUCCAAAAAAUUAUUAUGCUGGCUGUUUGGCCAGAAAAUAUCAAAAGGGGACACCUGUGUUCCAGAUAGAAACAGCUGUAAAUAUGUUGUUACAUAAGCACUCGCUCUGCUCCCACAUACUGUGUCUUGCUGUUGUCAACCUAAGCUUGAGAACUGGUUCCAUUUGAAGGGAAAGAAAAAGCAUAGAGUUAUACAGUAUUUAAGAGAAGAUCCCCGUUCCUUCAUUUUUUGCCUUCAUAUUUUCUAUUAUUUUUGUACUUUUUUUUUUUUUUUUUUUUUUCCUGGAUUUCAACCCAGGAAUCCAUCUUCCUCAUCUGCUGUAAUUCAUAGACUAGAGAGUAACCUUUCUUCUUCCCUGCUACCGCAACAACUAAUCAUUUACAUUUUAGAUGCAAAAUGCCACUGCCUGUAGAGGAAGUUUGUCCUUGCAUUCUCAGUUUUUCUUAGGGGGUGGAGACAUAGAUCUGAAUGUGAAUUUAAAUAGUAAUGGCAGUGAAACUUCGGUCCGUCGCAGCUUCAACAGCUUUUGCCAAAAAAAACCCACAACAACAACAAACAAAACAAACAAAAACAAACAAACAAAAAAACCCUCCAACCACCUUAAAUGUUUUUCCGGCCAUUUUGCAAAAGAGAACAAUUUCUGAGACUUUUUUAUUAUAUUUGUUUAUUUAUUUAACUUGUGAAGAAAUAAAUAUUAAAACCUACUGGCUCAAGACUUUUAGAAGAGUAAAGCACUGGAAUGUUUAGGUUUGACAAAUGCAUUGAUGCACAUGACACUUCAUGUUUUCAUGACUGAAUUGUUUCUUGUCAUUUAGAGAAGCAGAAAUUUUGUGGGAGAGUUGCAAUACUCCCUCCUUAGUUUUUAUGCUACCUUGAGUCUGUGUAAUGUAAGGGCAUGUUUGAAAUGCUGUCUUUGGGUCUGGGAGCUUAAAUUUCACGUAAUUUAUGUAUUAGAAAUUCAAGUCCAUAUUUGAAGCUGUAUUUAUGUAUCUUCUCUGUUUUGUGGUGGUUUUGCUUUUUAAAUGUAAAGUAUUAAUUUUCACAUUCAAACAUGCCUGUAAACGGAGCUUAUCUGAUAUUAUGUGCAAGUUCAGGCAAAUUGUUUAUUAUCCCUGGAGUGUGAUGUAAGUCCUACUUAUCACAUAUCUUUCAACUGUAACUUUACAGCCAUUACUGAUCAGAUAUAGAUUAUUUUUCUUACUCUUACAGUGUUGCAAUCUAUGAUAUAGAAAGAAUGAGGAAAAGCUGGUAACAGCAACACUACAUAAAUAAUACCUUCAGACCAAAAAGAGAAAUAGAAUGUAUCCAAGCAAAUACUGAAGAGAAUAAGUGGAGAAAGAAUUACUUGAUUUGGAGUAAAAUCAGGAACCCUGGAGCUAAUGAGCUCAUUCUUACAGAAAACACAAGGCAAAUUACCAAAUCUGGCCCAAAAAUACAUACAAGCAAAAGAAGAUCAUUCAUUUAUUUUAUAUAUGCUUUUUAUUUCAUGACAUAAUAAAGAAUAUUAUUCAACUAUCUCUGAAAUCAUGACUGAAGUAACGUUGCUAGAACAUUUAGAUCUAAAAUAAAUUUGUAUGAAAAAUUAUGCCAUACUUCUAAAAUGAGGACAAAAUCUGACUUUGUAGAUGACAGCUGAGUCUUUCUGCUUUUUCUUUUUUUAAUCUGUUUAAAAGGACAACAAAAUGUGAUCGUUUUAUAAUGGUUCCUUUCUUUCCAAAAGCAGAGAUCUGAGGAGGCCAUAUAUUUGAUGCUCCAUUUCGCAAACUAAAAUCCCCUGCCUUGACAUUGUUCAAGGUGAGCUUAAAUAGGGCAAGACACAUGCUGUUCUUACAGCUGUAUUUGUUCAGAUGCACAGUUCCCAACUGCAUGAGGCUACCCACUCCCCAUACUAAAUGCCAGAGAUAGAAAAAGUAGAAAUGGAUAGGAAAGAUAAAUUCAUUUAAAGGUCUUGCUAUUGUUAGUACAGUCAUGGUGUAUAAACAUGUUAUAAUUAACAGGAUCUAGCAUAUGAUUUUCUCUUCAUUGCCAUUGAAGAAAAUAAAUUAUAUUGUUGUUUCAUAGUGAUAAUGUUCAGAUUUGACUGUGUUUAAGAAACCAAGGAAUGCCUUCCUUUUUCUUUCUAAUGAAUUGCAUGCUUUACCUUUUUUAUUUUAUUAUUUUAUUUUGUUAAUUUCCUAGUCCCUAGUUUUGUUAAUUUUCCCAGUCCCUAUGAAAGAAAAUGAAUGUUAAUGGGAUGCCUUUAGCAGUUUAAUUAAAACUUUCUGGCUUGAUUAAAGUAUGCAGACUACACCAUAAUAGAUUCAACCAUUGACAUUUUGGAAUAUGCAAUGCCUUCAGAAGAAAAUGUCCCAAAGGGGCUUUAUUUCCUUCUAAGUGAGAAUAAAUCAUGCCAACAUUUGAAGAUGAAAAGAAUAUACAACGUAAUAAAACAAAUAAGAUACUUUUAGUUAUAGGUGAGGACUGUAAAUGUUCGACCAAUAGUUCAUACUGUCUUCCCAAUCCAAAGGUUUGCAUAUGUAUAUGUAAUAUGUGUUGUCUGUGCAUAUUGCUUUAAUUCAUAUAUUUUCAUAAUAUAUGUAUGUAAUAUAUGUAAUAUACAUAUACUGUGAAAAUACAUGUUUACAUAUGCUGGAAAAAGGGAAACAUCACUCUCAUUUUUAAGAAAGCAGGAGGGAAGAUCCAGGAAAUUACUGGCCAGUGAACCUCACCUCUGUGCCUGGUAAGAUCAAGGAACAGAUAUCAGAUCCUUCUGGAAGAUUAAGUUAAGGCACUUAUGAGAUAAGGUGGUGAUCUGUAAGAGCCAGCCUGGAUUCACCAAAGGCAGCUUGUGCCUGAUCAAUAUGGUAGCCUUCUGUGACAGAGUGAUGGCAUCAAUAGAUAAAAGAAGACCAGAUCAUGUAAUCUGCCUGGACUUUUGCAAGGCCUUUGAUAUGGUCCCACAUCAGAAUCUUAUCUCUAUAUUGGAAAAAUAUGAAUUUGAUGGGUGAACUAUUUGGUGAAUAAAUAAUUAGUUGGAUGGUCAUAA